rnacentral:rRNA from 1 species
CGACGCCGCUGGCGGCCGGCCUACCGUUGCUCCUCGAGCGGAUGACGGGAGCUUGCUCCUUGGUUCAGCGGCGGACGGGUGAGUAAUGCCUAUGAAUCUGCCUGGUAGUGGGGGACAACGUUUCGAAAGGAACGCUAAUACCGCAUACGUCCUACGGGAGAAAGCAGGGGACCUUCGGGCCUUGCGCUAUCAGAUGAGCCUAGGGUCGGAUUAGCUAGUUGGUGAGGUAAUGGCUCACCAAGGCGACGAUCCGUAACUGGUCUGAGAGGAUGAUCAGUCACACUGGAACUGAAACACGGUCCAGACUCCUACGGGAGGCAGCAGUGGGGAAUAUUGGACAAUGGGCGAAAGCCUGAUCCAGCCAUGCCGCGUGUGUGAAGAAGGUCUUCGGAUUGUAAAGCACUUUAAGUUGGGAGGAAGGGCAGUAAGUUAAUACCUUGCUGUUUUGACGUUACCGACAGAAUAAGCACCGGCUAACUCUGUGCCAGCAGCCGCGGUAAUACAGAGGGUGCAAGCGUUAAUCGGAAUUACUGGGCGUAAAGCGCGCGUAGGUGGUUUGUUAAGUUGGAUGUGAAAGCCCCGGGCUCAACCUGGGAACUGCAUCCAAAACUGGCAAGCUAGAGUACGGUAGAGGGUGGUGGAAAUUUCCUGUGUAGCGGUGAAAUGCGUAAUAUAGGAAGGAACACCAAUGGCGAAGCGACCACCUGGACUGAUACUGACACUGAGGUGCGAAAGCGUGGGGAGCAACGA